rnacentral:rRNA from 1 species
ACGCUCGACACCUACGGGGGCAGCAGUGGGGAAUAUUGCACAAUGGGGGAAACCCUGAUGCAGCGACGCCGCGUGGAGGAAGAAGGUCUUCGGAUUGUAAACUCCUGUUGUUGGGGAAAAAAGAGGAUGGUACCCAACAAGGAAGUGACGGCUAACUACGUGCCAGCAGCCGCGGUAAUCUGAGCGGGCUGGCAAGGC